AGCGAACGCUGGCGGCAGGCCUAACACAUGCAAGUCGAACGGAUCCUUCGGGAUUAGUGGCGGACGGGUGAGUAACACGUGGGAACGUGCCCUUUGGUUCGGAACAACUCAGGGAAACUUGAGCUAAUACCGGAUGUGCCCUUCGGGGGAAAGAUUUAUCGCCAUUGGAGCGGCCCGCGUCUGAUUAGCUAGUUGGUGAGGUAAAGGCUCACCAAGGCGACGAUCAGUAGCUGGUCUGAGAGGAUGAGCAGCCACAUUGGGACUGAGACACGGCCCAAAGUCCUACGGGAGGCAGCAGUGGGGAAUCUUGCGCAAUGGGCGGAAGCCUGACGCAGCCAUGCCGCGUGAAUGAUGAAGGUCUUAGGAUUGUAAAAUUCUUUCACCGGGGACGAUAAUGACGGUACCCGGAGAAGAAGCCCCGGCUAACUUCGUGCCAACCGCCGCCGUAGUAA
rnacentral:rRNA from 1 species